GCGACAGGCCUAACACAUGCAAGUCGAGGGGUAGCAGGAUGUAGCAAUACAUUGCUGACGACCGGCGCACGGGUGAGUAACACGUAUGCAACCUACCUUCUACAGGGGAAUAGCCCGGAGAAAUUCGGAUUAAUACCCCAUAACGCAGGGAUACCGCAUGGUAAUAUUUGCUAAAGAUUAAUCGGUAGAAGAUGGGCAUGCGUUCCAUUAGCCAGUUGGUGAGGUAACGGCUCACCAAAGCUACGAUGGAUAGGGGAACUGAGAGGUUUAUCCCCCACACUGGAACUGAGACACGGUCCAGACUCCUACGGGAGGCAGCAGUGAGGAAUAUUGGUCAAUGGACGAGAGUCUGAACCAGCCAAGUCGCGUGAAGGAUGACGGCCCUACGGGUUGUAAACUUCUUUUGUAUGGGAGUAAAAAGAUGGACGUGUCCAUUAUUGCAAGUACCAUACGAAUAAGCAUCGGCUAACUCCGUGCCAGCAGCCGCGGUAAUACGGAGGAUGCGAGCAUUCGAUGAUACGCGAGGAACCUUACCCGGGCUUGAAAUGCAUCUGACCGCUUAAGAAAUUAGGCUUCUAGCAAUAGCAGAUGUGUAGGUGCUGCAUGGUUGUCGUCAGCUCGUGCCGUGAGGUGUCGGCUUAAGUGCCAUAACGAGCGCAACCCACAUUGUUAGUUACUAACAGGUCAAGCUGAGGACUCUGACAAGACUGCCAGCGUAAGCUGUGAGGAAGGUGUGGAUGACGUCAAAUCAGCACGGCCCUUACGUCCGGGGCGACACACGUGUUACAAUGGAUGGUACAGAGGGUCGCUACCUAGUGAUAGGAUGCCAAUCUCGAAAGCCAUUCCCAGUUCGGAUUGGAGUCUGCAACUCGACUCUAUGAAGCUGGAUUCGCUAGUAAUCGCACAUCAGCCAUGGCGCGGUGAAUACGUUCCCGGGCCUUGUACACACCGCCCGUCAAGCCAUGGAAGCUGGGGGUACCUGAAGUACGUAACCGUCAAGGAGCGUCCUA
rnacentral:rRNA from 1 species